UUAUCAAAAACAUGUCUUUUUGAGUUAUUUUUAAAGUCUGACCUGCCCACUGAAAUUAUUUAAAUGGCCGCAGUAUUCUGACUGUGCAAAGGUAGCAUAAUCAUUAGUCUUUUAAUUGAAGGCUGGUAUGAACGGUUGGACGAGGUAUAAGCUGUUUCAUAUAAAUUUAUAGUAGAAUUUUAUAUUUUAGUCAAAAAGCUAAAAUACAGUUAAAAGACGAGAAGACCCUAUAAAUCUUUAUAUUUCACAUUAUUUAAAUUUUUUGGAUUUAUUUUAUUUUUAUAGUUUGAAUUAUUUUGUUGGGGUGAUAUUAAAAUUUAAUGAACUUUUAAUUAUUGAAAAUCAUUAAUUUAUGAACUGUUGAUCCGUUUAUAGCGAUUAUAAGAUUAAGUUACUUUAGGGAUAACAGCGUAAUUUUUUUGGAGAGUUCAUAUCGAUAAAAAAGUUUGCGACCUCGAUGUUGGAUUAAGAUAUAUUUUUAGGUGUAGCCGCUUAAACAUUAAGUCUGUUCGACUUUUAAAUUCUUACGUGAUCUGAGUUC
rnacentral:rRNA from 1 species